GUGAGGAAUAUUGGGCAAUGGGCGAAAGCCUGACCCAGCCACGCCGCGUGAGUGAUGAAGGCCUUCGGGUUGUAAAGCUCUGUGGGGAGGGAAGAAAAAGCGGGAGAGUAACUGCUCUCGUGUUGACGGUACCUCCUUAGCAAGCACCGGCUAACUCUGUGCCAGCAGCCGCGGUAAUACAGAGGGUGCAAACGUUGCUCGGAAUUACUGGGCGUAAAGCGCGUGUAGGCUGACCUGCAAGUCGGGUGUGAAAUCCUAGGGCUCAACCUUGGAACUGCACUCGAAACUGCACGUCUUGAGUACUGGAGAGGGAAGCGGAAUUCCGGGUGUAGAGGUGAAAUUCGUAGAUAUCCGGAGGAACACCAGUGGCGAAGGCGGCUUCCUGGACAGUAACUGACGCUGAGACGCGAAAGCGUGGGGAGCAAACAGGAUUAGAUACCCUUGUAGUCC
rnacentral:rRNA from 1 species